rfam:Moraxella nonliquefaciens strain CCTG 60284 contig_14, whole genome shotgun sequence.
CCUGUUAUCUGACCAAUAACAGAAUGCACCACAGCGUAAAAUCAUCUGAUUGGGUGAGUUGGUCGCACCGCCAUUUGACGAACGAACGCCAAGCCUAAGCCAUCUUUGUGCAUUAAGUGGGUAAAGGUUGGUUAGUAGCGGUUUCCCCCACGACAAGGGGU